CAAUGUUGAGCAGUGUAGGGUUGAUCAUGAUCAUGUGACUGACAGACAGCUUUGGGAGAGAACGGCACUGAACACAGAAACAUCAGGCGAGACUAAAGGAGUUUCCACAGCGCGACAGAUAGAGCCUACAAGUUAACAUUGCCUCUGCUUUAAACCCGUUAUUCAAGUGCUCUGAAACACAUCGACGGUCGGUGAAAAAGUCCUGGGAGAAGAAGAAGAAGCUGUUUUCAACAGCCAGGAUAGAGGUUUGGUGUGGUGGCUAUAAAACAUAAUCUGUAGAAGAGGAGAGACGAACAAAUCUCAGCGGGCAUGCGGGAGUUUUUGGAGUUAUUUGACUGCAAACAUUCUACAAACAAAUAAGAACUUUCGCGCAGAUUCGUUUCGUUAAUUGCGUCAUCAUUUUUUUUUAACUGAUGAUUGAGGGUGAUACAAACUUGGAACUUUGUGUUUGAAAAGUAACGUUAGUAGCAACAUCGGGUCAGAAGUUUGGAAUAAAACGGAAAACAUAUCAAACCCCUCCGUUUGCGUUUUUGUGGGGGGCUGUCGUGUUUUUCCAAAGCUUAACGCGUUUUUUUAAGCUUUUUUUGGGGGGGCCAAUAUUUUAAACAUGGUUGGGGAAAUGGAAACGAAGGAGAAGCCUAAGCCGACUCCUGAUUAUCUGAUGCAGCUCAUGAAUGACAAGAAACUGAUGAGCAGCCUGCCAAACUUCUGUGGCAUUUUCAACCAUCUCGAGCGACUGUUAGAUGAAGAAAUUGGACGGGUACGGAAGGACAUGUACAAUGACACUAUGAACGGCACAGAUAAAAGGACUUCCGAGCUCCCAGAUGCUGUGGGGCCCAUCGCACAACUCCAAGAGAAACUCUAUGUGCCUGUAAAAGAAUUCCCAGACUUUAAUUUUGUGGGAAGAAUCCUGGGGCCCCGGGGCCUGACGGCCAAACAAUUGGAGGCAGAGACGGGCUGCAAGAUCAUGGUGCGAGGCAAAGGCUCCAUGAGAGACAAGAAGAAGGAAGAGCAAAACAGAGGAAAGCCCAACUGGGAACACCUGAACGAAGACCUGCAUGUCCUCAUCACUGUGGAAGACUCUCAGAACCGCGCUGAGAUCAAACUCAAGAGAGCCGUCGAGGAGGUCAAGAAACUGCUUGUCCCUGCGGCUGAAGGAGAAGACAGCUUGAAAAAAAUGCAGCUGAUGGAGCUGGCCAUACUCAACGGCACAUACAGAGACGCCAAUAUCAAGUCACCAGCCUUAGCCUUCUCCCUGGCCGCCACAGCACAAGCUCCCCGCCUUAUCACCGGCCCCUCCCCGGGGAUGCCCACUGGGGCUCUGCGUAACCCUGCACCCAACGCACCCACCCUCAUGCCCCUCAUCCGACAGAUCCAGACCUCUGCCCUCAUGCCCACGGGCACGCCCCACCACCUCUUACCCCAGAACCCCGAGUCAGGCAUCAUCUAUGCACCCUACGAUUACCCCUACACCCUAGCCCCAGCCUCCAUUCUUGAAUAUCCUAUUGACUCCAGUGGUGUUUUAGGUAUGGCUUUCCCGACAAAAGGCUAGUAAUGCUCAGGGGUUUUACACAGUCUUCAGCCCAUACGAGUGUUAAAAAUGCUUUGCUUUACAGCUGCCUUGGAACAAAAGAGCAAACGAAGAAACUGAUUUUUAUAAGAAACAAAAGACUAAAGAUCAUUACUACUCAUGUUUACACUGGUCAUAACUGUUUUGUUGACUUAUUCAUAGAUUAAAAAAUGGAUAUUUUCAGAUAAAUACAGAUAAUUAAGCCUUUUUACAUUCCUCUGUUUGAAAGUAAUCUAUAUUUGUUUAGCUUGUAAUAUUUGUAUCACUUAAUUUCUCCUGCAACUGUAUCUUAGAUAUUUAGAGAGUGAUCAGUAUUAUCGCUAAUAUAACGUACUUGUGUAAAACAUUCUCCAUGAAAGCCUGCAGUGAAUUCAUUUUAUCUGAAGCGUCUUGUGUAUUGAGAGGAAUACAAGGGCUCUAUAGUUUAAAUUAGUCAGAGCAUUACGCAUCAUUUGUGUUUUUAUGGAAAUACUUCAGAUUUACUGGGAAAUUGAGAAGGGGAACAACAUAUGAUGUGAUUUCAUUUCACAAUGGAGAAAAGGUCACUUGUGCCUUGUAAUUUGGACUCACAAGCCUUGUUUGUGAAACAAUUUUGUGUGAAAUGUCGUGUUAAUGUAUUUUGAUUAAUAAUCUGUUAAUUCUUGUUUUGUUGGCAAUGUUGCGCUCUGAGCAGGUGCAGUGACUACUAAAGUACGAAGGCAGGAUAUGCGCGUCCAUCCUUACCAAAGGGUAGUGACCGCAGAACGAGCCGCCACCGGCAACUAACCAAUGACCCUCUGAACUCUUCACCCAAUGAUGACCUGACCAUUGCCUGCCUGCUGACCAGUUCUCUGGCUCUCGUCCUUCGCUUCUAUGUUUUGGCAGCCUGCUGGUGAGCCCAGAAGCAGCUUUAAUUCGCUUAACACAGCCGAGAAGCCGUGAUGGCCCCACGCCACCACCCGCAGAACCGAAUCACUCCCCUUCUCAAACUGAGGACCUCCUUGGUCAGGUGACCUGGGCUUCCCAGCCUGCACUGAAGUGUCAUAAUAAAGCAAUAACACUGUCUGGGCGACACCUAAAAUCCUAAUGUUAGCCUUUCACAUGCACACACUAAAUAAACACACAUCUUUAUUUGUUUCUAAAAAUGAAUAAUUGAGCAUAAUGUUUAACACUCUAAGUUUGUGCACUGCAGUUCUCAUACCAUCCUGAAGAGUUAAAAGAAAAACCCUGCAGUUUACUUUAAAACUGACUUAGAGGUCCAAAUGUCCGUAAGGGAUGUAAAAACCAUGCUUGCCUACCAGCGUUUUCUUCAGAGAGCUGUCGAAAAAGCAUUCAGUCACACGAGGAAGUGUACAAACACAACAUCAAUUAAUAUCUUUUUGAUACGAGGGUGCUGCACAGGAAAUGAUUAUAUAUUUUUCACAGGUGAUCCUUUUUUGUAUUAAAAAAAACAGUAUUGUCAAAAUGUGAUGAACAAACAAUGCGUAUUUCCUUAUGACAAAUAUUUAGAGACCAAAACGGUGUCUUUUUUAAAAUAAAAACAAACAAACAAGUGCCUUAUUUUACACUAUCAUCAAUUAUGAACAAGUAUGAAUGUCCAUCAAUGUGUUAUAUGCCAACAUAUCAGGUAUUUCUGUUCAAUUCCUCUUUAUCGGUGAUCAUGAAAACGAGGUGUACAGAACAAUGUUGCAGGCGUUACACUCAAAAACUAGUGUUUUUAUGUGCGUUUAAUAUCUUUCUUUACGAAUAAUGAUUAAUAGAGUUUUACCCUGUCACACUACAUUAGGUACUUCUUGAGCUCUUUACGCUUGCAAUCUGAUUGUUUGUGAAAAUAUGUGUAUGUUUAUAGAGCAUCACUACAUCUGUUAUACAGCAAUGAAGCACAUCAAUAUGAAACUUCUAAACUAUUACUUCGAUUCCGUAUUUUUCACUCAGCUUAUAUCUCAAGGAGCAUUUUUUCAAUUCAGCAGGUUGAAAUUGAUAAAGGUUUGGGGUUAAUUAGUCAUUUUAUUCCUUUUGAAGAAUUUAAGUGUUCUAGAAGUUGUGUGCAGACAUGUCACAUUUCCUUCCUAUGCAAAUGAUUUUCAGUUUUAUUAAAAUGACCGAAUAAAUGUCCUUCAGUUGGUCUUCCAGUAUCAUUUCAGAAACUAAAAGCCUAUUAACAAAUUAUGAUUACAUGUUGUUAUUUGGUUAUCAUAACUGGAUUUUAAGAAGAUCUCAUCUCCUUUUAAAAAAUAAUAAUAUUGGUUGUAUUUAUGCAGAGCAAAUGCAAUACUUUUUAGACGUUUGCGUUUGUAAUCAAGUUGCAUGUCAUUUUUUUUAUUACUAUUAAUCUGGAUAUUGCUAAAGGAAAAAUCCUGCAAAUAUAUUUAACAGAUGGAAUUUGUUUUUACGGCCAGGAACUGGAGUUUGUUAAUGUGGGUUUUUUGGUUUAGUGUUUGCCUUCCAUGCAGUAUUACUAUAGACCAUGUCGACAUGUGUAAGCAUGUUUACUGAUGAUUGUGUGAGUGAGUGUUUGUGUAUUGUAUAUGCCAAUGAACUGCAACUCGCCAUUCAAGCUUAUUAUUGUCUUUUUUUUUGGUUGCAAACCCAAGCAGCUCCCUGCAUUGGAAAAUAUACAGUCCAAUUUAUAACUAUUGUAACAUUUUAUAAUGUAUUUUUCUAUCAUAUUUUGUAUGUGAGAAAUAACAUUAAAUCACAUUUCCAGAUAUGAA